UGAGUGGUUUUCUAAUGGGUGUCGGCUGAUUUGCGGUGUCACCACGUAUUGCCUGGCGCUGGAUAUUGGUACGAGGCAACCGAGAUGAAGCAGGUCAACAACAAAAAGAAAGAACAAUUGGGCGUGAUUGGAUGCUGAAGGACCGAAAAGGCAACCAGAGGGGGGUGAAUGGGAGCCUCAAAUACUUCUUUCAAAAUCUUAGGCCUCUGUCUCAAAAUCAAACCCCAAAUCC
rnacentral:lncRNA from 1 species